GAUUUAUAUUUUUAUAAUUGUUUAAUAUUGAAGUUAAACAAUUUUUAUUAAUCAUUCCAUUAGUUUACAUCUCAAAUAAUAUCCUCCUUCCUAGUUAUCCAUCCACAAACCCAUCUCACUUCUGCCCUCUCCCCCCCCCUCCUUUGCCUCUAUGUGGGUGCUCCCCAACUCAAACUACCCAGCUACUCACUUCUACCCUACUGCUUCAGCAUCCCCUAUACACUGGGGCAUCAAACCUCCACAGGACCUGAAGUUUAAAUUUAUUUGCAUAUUUUAAAGAGCUAUUCUUUUUAAGAUAUAUAUUUUUGUGCAUGUUUGACAAUUUCUGGAUUCUAUUCUUAUUCUUCUGAGAGUAUCUGCUAUGGCAGAUGUUUUAUAUUUGGCUAUUGGACAUCUUAUCCAUAUGUACCUCAUUUUAUAUCCAAUAAGAGUAUUCAAAUUUAAGUUCAGGUAAUUCUUUCAUAGAAACAUAUUUGUUUGUUGUAGUUCCAUGGCAUUUUUCAGUCACUUUUAGAUGACAUAACAAAUUGCCAUAAGUUGCAAGCCUUAAAUAGCAUACUGCAAAUUCUCAUAUUUAUGGAAGCUGGAAUUCAAGAAGGUUUUUUUUUUCAAUUUGAAAUGUGUCUUAAUUAAGAGAUCAGUGUGGAUUCCUCCUUGCUGUUGUGCAGAGAAAUCUUGCAUUGUUGUCCUGUAACUGCAGAAAGUACAUCUAGGGUGUGUACCAGUUUCUGGUAUCUAUUUCUAUAAAGGUAAUAACUCUAUAAUGAGAGCCCUUCCACCUCUUCACAGUUACCUCAUAUUACCAUUCCAUUGGAGGUUAAAGGUUAGGGUGUCAACAUUAUAAUUGAGAAUAUGUAUUUUAUAAAUGGAUCAUUAUAGAAAAGUUUCUAAUUUUCAGACAAAAUUAUAUAUUAGAACUAUAAACAUCAUGAAGUUAUAAUUCUCCCGUUUUAUACUUUUUCAUCCUGGACCAAGCAUAAUAUCUGUUCCAUAGACAAUGAAGUAUCAGAAUCAGUGAAAUGAGCAACUAUAGGGAUGGAUACAGGUUUCUGUCACUUAAUAAAAUUCUACUUGCAUUCUGAAGUCUGUACCCAAUCCUUCCAUUAAUUACCAUAUUGCAGUGCUUCCUAGAGUCUACUGGUUCUGCAGAGAUCCUCUACUCACCACAGAUGGGAAACUUUAGUCACUGUGUGCUCAUUCUCAGAUCAGUAUUCAUCAUUGCUUUUGCCUUUACAGCUUUAUAUCCUUUGUUUGGUUCCCCUGACAGGUACUCUCACGGUUCUCUUCCAGUGUAAGUACUGCUUAUGUUGGCACAAGGUCACCAGUAGCUUUCAUCUUUACCACUCUGUACUCAAGUCACACCCCAUUCCACACAUAUGUGGCAGAUUGUAAACUUCCAAUGUAAGUCUUCUACAAUAGCUUCAUUUUAUUGAAAAUGACAAGAACGUGUGCUUUUAAAGAAAUUCAACAACUGUCUUUGCUUUCUCUUCCCUCUUAUUAAAUUAAAAAGGAUGCUGUGAUUAAACUUUUAAGAAACAAUCAUUUAUUAUUUUUAAACAUAUAUUUGGAUUGGAAUCUUUUAAGAGUGUCUGUUACUAAUUUUAACCAAUUUUUUUAUAUCUUGUUUUUUCAGGUACAGAUCAUUUUCUAGACAAUUGUAAAGCCAUGCACUGAGAAAGAAUUUCAUAUAUUUUCUUUAUGAAGUACUGGAAAUGUUUUCUCUAUUCCUCUGGGUGGCAUAACAAUCCUAUACUACAUAUAGAAACUGGAAAUACUGCAGUAAUUCUGUUUCUUCAGUCAAAGCCACAAUCACAGCUGUUAGAGCCCAACAAAGGCUGGCCCUACAGAGCUAAUUCAUUAUGAUUCCCUCAGAAAUAAGUUGUAUAUUCUUCUAGACUUGAAACACAUCUUAGUAAAUCAUUGAAUUUAAUGUCUUACUUUCUAUCUUAUGUUAAUCAUUUAAAAUAAAAAUAACAACCUAAUGAUUUAAAUUGAAAGUUUGGUAUCUCAAAGAAACUAAUAAUAAGGAUUACCAGUAAUAGACAGAAAAGGAAAUCAGAAAAAAAUCAAGACAAUACUAGGCCUAAGUGAUUCUCACCUAUAUCUCAAUAUGAUAUCAUGACAAAAGUGUGUUAAAAUUUUGAUUUCACAGUGUUGAAAAUGGGUAUUUGGGAAAUCAGAGAAACAAAGUUUUAUGAUUUUAUGGAACUGAAUUUCCCAUCACCAUUAAUAUUAAUUAGAACCCCAGUCUCCAAAAGCCAAAAAGUUUCAACUUAGGAAGAAAAAUUAUUUAAUGGACAGUUUAAUGUCAAGAUAAUAGUAGAUAGUAGAUAAUAAAAUUAAUAGCAAACAUGUUACUGAGAAUUAGGAGGCAAUAGGAUUGUGUCAUAUUUUUCAUUUAUUUAUUUAUUUAUUCACUGUACAUAUGAAUCACAGUCCUCUCUUUCCUUCCAGGCUCUACCUCACAUAGUUCCACUUCCUGUCCCUCCCCUUCUGUUCUGGGAAGAGGAAGGUCCCCUUUGGAAGCAGGUUACCCUGGCAUGACUAGGCACUACAGGGUUAAGGAAUCCUUGUCCACUGCAAGGCAGUCCAGUUAGGGGGAUAGAAUCCACAGGCAGGCAACAGAGUUAAGUACAACACCUGCUGCAAUUAGGGCACCUAUACAAAGACAAGUCUGUACAUCUGCUAUUAGGGUAUGUUGGGGUGGGAGAGCUAUAGCCAAAGCAUGUGUUCUUUGGCUGGUGGUUCAGUCCCUGGGAACUCCCAAGAAUCCAGGUUAGUUGACUCUGUUUGUCUUUCUGUUUAAUCCCCAUCCCUUCCUGGUUCCUCAACCUUCCCCAGACUUUUACUAAAGACUUCCUGAGCUCCAUCUAACAUUGGGUCUCUGUAUCUUUUUCAUUGGCUGCUGGGUGGAGCCUCUCAGAAGACAGUUAUGCUAGGCUCCUAUCUGCAAGCAUAACAGAUUAUCAUAAAUUGUGUCAGGAAUUGGUUCUUGCCAAUGGGAUGGUUCUCAGCUUGGGCCAGUCAUUGUUUGGCCAUUCCCUCAAUCUCUGUGUCAUCUUUGUCCCUGCACUUCUUGUAGACUGGAAAAACGUGGGGUUGAAUGAUUUGUGGGUACAUUGGUAUCCUUAUUUCUCUACUGGAGCACCUGCUUGGCUAAAGGAGGUGGCUAUGUCACAGUUCCAUGUCCCCUACUAAUAGGAAGAUUAGCUAGAGUCACCCUCAUAGACUCCCUGGAGACUUCUUUAUAUGUUCACUCUUUAACUUCUUUCUGUAGACAGAAUAAUGUCAAAAUAAUAUUAUUGGUCUUAAGGGAGCUAAAACCAUCAAGUGGAAGAAAGACAGCAUUUUCAACAAAUGGUGCUGGCACAACUGGUUGUUACCAUGUAGAAGAAUGGGAAUUGAUCCAUUCCUAUCUCCUUGUACUAAGGUCAAAUCUAAGUGGAUCAAGGAACUUCACAUAAAACCAGAGACACUGAAACUUAUAGAGGAGAAAGUGGGGAAAAGACAGGGGGGAAAUUCCUGAACAGAACAACCAUGGCUUGUGCUGUAAGAUCAAGAAUCAAAAAUGGGACCUCAUAAAAUUGCAAAGCUUCUGUAAGGCAAAAGAUAAUGUCAAUAAGACAAAAAGGCCACAAACAGAGUGGGAAAGGAUUUUUACCAAUCCUAAAUCUGAUAGGGGACUAAUAUUCAAUAUAUA
rnacentral:lncRNA from 1 species